rnacentral:rRNA from 1 species
AGACCCGAAACCCGGUGAUCUAGCCAUGGGCAGGUUGAAGGUUGGGUAACACUAACUGGAGGACCGAACCGACUAAUGUUGAAAAAUUAGCGGAUGACCUGUGGCUGGGGGUGAAAGGCCAAUCAAACCGGGAGAUAGCUGGUUCUCCCCGAAAGCUAUUUAGGUAGCGCCUCGUGAAUUCAUCUCCGGGGGUAGAGCACUGUUUCGGCUAGGGGGCCAUCCCGGCUUACCAACCCGAUGCAAACUGCGAAUACCGGAGAAUGUUAUCACGGGAGACACACGGCGGGUGCUAACGUCCGUCGUGAAGAGGGAAACAACCCAGACCGCCAGCUAAGGUCCCAAAGUCAUGGUUAAGUGGGAAACGAUGUGGGAAGGCCCAGACAGCCAGGAUGUUGGCUUAGAAGCAGCCAUCAUUUAAAGAAAGCGUAAUAGCUCACUGGUCGAGUCGGCCUGCGCGGAAGAUGUAACGGGGCUAAACCAUGCACCGAAGCUGCGGCAGCGAUGCUUAUGCGUUGUUGGGUAGGGGAGCGUUCUGUAAGCCUGCGAAGGUGGCCUGUGAGGGUUGCUGGAGGUAUCAGAAGUGCGAAUGCUGACAUAAGUAACGAUAAAGCGGGUGAAAAGCCCGCUCGCCGGAAGACCAAGGGUUCCUGUCCAACGUUAAUCGGGGCAGGGUGAGUCGACCCCUAAGGCGAGGCCGAAAGGCGUAGUCGAUGGGAAACGGGUUAAUAUUCCCGUACUUGGUGUUACUGCGAAGGGGGGACGGAGAAGGCUAUGUUGGCCGGGCGACGGUUGUCCCGGUUUAAGCGUGUAGGUGUGUGUUCCAGGUAAAUCCGGUUCACUUUAACACUGAGGCGUGACGACGAGGCACUACGGUGCUGAAGCAACAAAUGCCCUGCUUCCAGGAAAAGCCUCUAAGCAUCAGGUAACAUCAAAUCGUACCCCAAACCGACACAGGUGGUCAGGUAGAGAAUACCAAGGCGCUUGAGAGAACUCGGGUGAAGGAACUAGGCAAAAUGGUGCCGUAACUUCGGGAGAAGGCACGCUGACACGUAGGUGAAGUGAUUUACUCAUGGAGCUGAAGUCAGUCGAAGAUACCAGCUGGCUGCAACUGUUUAUUAAAAACACAGCACUGUGCAAACACGAAAGUGGACGUAUACGGUGUGACGCCUGCCCGGUGCCGGAAGGUUAAUUGAUGGGGUCAGCGCAAGCGAAGCUCCUGAUCGAAGCCCCGGUAAACGGCGGCCGUAACUAUAACGGUCCUAAGGUAGCGAAAUUCCUUGUCGGGUAAGUUCCGACCUGCACGAAUGGCGUAAUGAUGGCCAGGCUGUCUCCACCCGAGACUCAGUGAAAUUGAACUCGCUGUGAAGAUGCAGUGUACCCGCGGCAAGACGGAAAGACCCCGUGAACCUUUACUAUAGCUUGACACUGAACAUUGAGCCUUGAUGUGUAGGAUAGGUGGGAGGCUUUGAAGUGUGGACGCCAGUCUGCAUGGAGCCGACCUUGAAAUACCACCCUUUAAUGUUUGAUGUUCUAACGUGGACCCGU